rnacentral:rRNA from 1 species
AACAGGAUUAGAUACCCUGGUAGUCCAUGCCGUAAACGAUGAGUGCUAGGUGUUGGAGGGUUUCCGCCCUUCAGUGCCGGAGCUAACGCAUUAAGCACUCCGCCUGGGGAGUACGACCGCAAGGUUGAAACUCAAAGGAAUUGACGGGGGCCCGCACAAGCGGUGGAGCAUGUGGUUUAAUUCGAAGCUACGCGAAGAACCUUACCAGGUCUUGACAUCUUGCGCCAACCCUAGAGAUAGGGCGUUUCCUUCGGGAACGCAAUGACAGGUGGUGCAUGGUCGUCGUCAGCUCGCGUCGUGAGAUGUUGGGUUAAGUCCCGCAACGAGCGCAACCCUUGUUACUAGUUGCCAGCAUUAAGUUGGGCACUCUAGUGAGACUGCCGGUGACAAACCGGAGGAAGGUGGGGACGACGUCAGAUCAUCAUGCCCCUUAUGACCUGGGCUACACACGUGCUACAAUGGACGGUACAACGAGUCGCGAACUCGCGAGGGCAAGCAAAUCUCUUAAAACCGUUCUCAGUUCGGACUGCAGGCUGCAACUCGCCUGCACGAAGUCGGAAUCGCUAGUUAUCGCGGAUCAGCAUGCCGCGGUGAAUACGUUCCCGGGCCUUGUACACACCGCCCGUCACACCAUGAGAGUUUGUAACGCCCAAAGUCGGUGGCCUAACCAUUUGGAGGGAGCCGCCUAAGGCGGGACAGAUGACUGGGGUGAAGUCGUAACAAGGUAACC